CCUCACUUUUGAUGUGGAGGUGUUUUUCAGUCUAAAAUAUGUCUCUUGUAGGCAGAAUAUAGAUGGAUUUUUUUUUAAUCCAUUCUGAUACCCUGUGUCUUUUGAUUGGAGCAUUUAGUCCAUUUACAUUCAGAGUGAUUAUUGAAAGAUACAGAUUUAGUGCCAUUGUGUUGUCUAUAGAGUUGGUGUUUAGGGUGAUGUUAUCCAGUCCUUUGUAGUCUUUGUUGCUUUCAUCUUUGUUUCUCCACUCAGAGAGUCCCCCUUAAAAUUUCUUGCAGGGUUGGUUUAGUGGUUAAGAACUCCUUUACUUUUUGUUUGUCUGGGAAACUCUUUACCUCUUCUUCUGUUCUGAAUGACAGCCUUCCUGGAUAAAGCAUUCUUGGCUGCAUAUUUUUCCUGUUCAGUACAUUGAAUAUUUCCAGCCACUCCCUUCUGGCCUGCCAAAUUUCAGUGGACAGGUCUACUGCUAACCUUAUGUGUCUAUCUUUGUCAGUUAAGGACAUUUUGUCCCUAGCUGCUUUCAGAAUUCUAUCUUUUUUGCAAGUUUCACUGUGAUGUUUUGUGGUGUUGACCCAUUUUUGUUGAUUUUGAGGGGAGUUCUCUGUGCUUCUUAGACUUGAAUGCCUGUUUCUUUCCCAAGAUUAGUGAAGUUCUCAGCUAUAAUUUGUUCUCAGCUAUAAUUAUAAUUUUUAUAAUAACAAAAGGUUAAAUAAACCUUUUGUCCUUUUUUCCCUCUAUUCUUCUUUUGGGACUCCUAUGUUAUUGUUGGGAAAAUAAGUAAAGUUCUGCAUCAUAAGAUGGCCAACAGGACUAACAUAAGCUCUAGUUUCUAGCUUAGAGACUCCUCUUCCAGGUUCUUCCUGCUCUGUUUGCCACGCAAACCACCAUGAAUGCAGAAGAGAUAACACUAUAAAUUACCCCUCCCACUUGUGUUCAGGGCUCAGAUCUCUGGAGAAGGAUCUCCUCUGAGUCUGCUGGUGUAAAAUAAAACACCAAUCCACCAACAUCUCCAAGUGCCACGUGGUUUUUCUGCCAGCGAUCCAGCCUGGUUCCAUAACAUAUUUGGUUCUCUGAUUGGGAAACCCAACUGUGCUGGCCCAUUUUUGCCACCAGUUUGGGAAAAUGGCGAGGCGGUGAAGGAAUAAAGAAUUGCAAUGGAGAAAGUGAGCCCUGCUGGAUUUUUGGCAGUCUCCCACUCGGUCUCCUCAGACCAGCCCCGCUCCGCCAUUCCCACUGGAUUCAAAGAGACUUGGAAGUGAGGACCUGGACCUGAUGUCAGAUACUGGCCCGGAGAAUCCUCUCACCAGGGCCAGCAGCCAGACUGUGCCUCAGACAUCAGGAGAAAACUCCAAAAGCUAGAGGGCUUAGCUAGGAUGAAUAUCACUCAGUUGAUAGAGGUCACCAAUAAAGUUUUCAUGAACAGGUCACCAUUGGAAAUACUGGUUAUUUUACCAAGGCUUUGACUGGAAUGUCAUAUUUGAGAGUGACAUGCAUAGAUUCAGAUAUGACCAGACAGCUUUAAGGAACUUGGGGUGACUUUAUGAAACAUGGAGCCAUAAAGGAAAUGUUGGCCUGAUGCCUUGCUUACAGAGCUCCCAGCAGCCUCACCAGGUGAAUAAAGAAGGUCACUUCCUGGCAGGUGCAAGAACCUAAGGAUACCUUGGGGACCUGGUGAAGAGGAAUUCACCCAAUUCUACAGGUAUUGCAGGCCUGUCCGAUGGCAAGUAUUUGGCAUGGCUUCUGGCCUGGAGAAGCUACUAAAAAGUUCAACCUGGAAAUUCCUUAUAAAAGUUUCCAGCAAA